AUUGAACGCUGGCGGCAUGCCUUACACAUGCAAGUCGAACGGCAGCAUAGGAGCUUGCUCCUGAUGGCGAGUGGCGAACGGGUGAGUAAUAUAUCGGAACGUGCCCUAGAGUGGGGGAUAACUAGUCGAAAGACUAGCUAAUACCGCAUACGAUCUACGGAUGAAAGGGGGGGAUCGCAAACCCUCAUGCCCCUGGGGCGGCCCAUAUCUGAUUAGCUAGUUGGUGGGGUAAAAGCCUACCAAGGGGACGAUCAGUAGCUGGUCUGAGAGGACGACCGGCCACACUGGGACUGAGACACGGCCCAGACUCCUACGGGAGGCAGCAGUGGGGAAUUUUGGACAAUGGGGGCAACCCUGAUCCAGCAAUGCCGCGUGAGUGAAGAAGGCCUUCGGGUUGUAAAGCUCUUUUGUCAGGGAAGAAACGGUAGUAGCUAAUAUCUAUUACUAAUGACGGUACCUGAAGAAUAAGCACCGGCUAACUACGUGCCAGCAGCCGCCGUAACAC
rnacentral:rRNA from 1 species